CACUGGUCUAUCUGGAUCAAUCACCAUCUCUAUGAUGAUCCUAUGAUCAGGAAUAAUUUAGGAAUUAAGCAUCAAUAAUGCAUGCCUCAAAUUCUCAACUCUUUGAGAAUUUAUCAUCAUCUUGUUAAUCCCUUGGAUGAUUCAUGGACAUAUAAAUAUGAAUGAUAAUAUAACUACCCAAUAAGUACAAAAUUAUAUCCUAGAGAUAUAAAAUGUGUCAGUCAAGAUUGGCUUCUAGGGCAUAUAUCUAACAUUAAUGGCAUAUCCCUCCCACC
rnacentral:lncRNA from 1 species